rnacentral:lncRNA from 1 species
UGUGCGCUUGUGAUGAAUUUAUUUAGUAUGAGUUUAUUAGGUAAAAUAUUUCAGUGUCUUUAAUUACUCCAAAAAACACAAGUGUUUUAGCCCCCAAACGAGGCCUAAAUAAUCUCAAAGAGAAUAUUCACACGUUGCUUUUUUGGAAUGCUUAACAUUGAUAUCAUGUUGCUCUUGACAUGAUAUAAUAAAUAAAUAACUAAAUAAAUAAUAAUAUAAUAAAUAAAUAUAUUAAACUAUUUCUCUAAUUUGCUAAUUUAUUUUCUUAUGAGAGGGUGUUUGAUUCGGGUAAAUAUGAUGAUGGGACUUGAAAGCAAUAGAAAGUGAAAUGAAAGAAAAAGAAAGUCUUGGAUGCUUUUGGUUAAUGAUGAAAGUUACGUAAGAAAAUUAUAAUUAAAUGAUCUCUACAGAUUGUAACGUACAAGAAAUCAGGGGAAAAACAGGGUUAAUUGCACUUUGCCUCCUUAAAGUAAUGAGCGAUUCCCAUUUUGGGUCGUACAAAAAUUUUACUCCGUAAUUUCUUGUAUUUUCUCCUAUAGUCAUGCUAAAUAAUAAGAAAAUAUUUUCUUGUUUCUUUAUUUUUCAUUAUUUUCAUUCUAACUAAACGUAAAUAAAGUAAAAAAAAACCUUUCAUAAAUUAAUGAUUGACAUAAACGCUUCAUUUUAUUUUGAAUAUUCUCAAUUGAAGGCAAACAACUAUGGACCAUCUAAAAUAUGACAUUUUAUACAGUGGCGGACGCAGAAAUUACGUUUAGGGGGGCUAAAUUAUAUAUUUUCAAUGGACAAAAGUCUGAGGGAGUCAGUUAUGUAUACUUUAAUAGACCAAUAGCAAAAUAAUCAAAACUAAUAGAGAUUUUUCAAAUGUUUGCCACUGGCAUUAACCACGCUAUCUAAAGGGUCUUGCGUGACGCGUAUUUGGAUCAUAUCAAAUAUAGUAGCCAAAUAUCACCACAUACUAUUAUUGCAGUUUCUUGAACCAUAUUGAUUUAGUUUCUAAAAAGACCAAACAAGAAUCUCAUUUUUCUCUUAUUAAAGGUGAUCACUUUAUUCAUUAAAAUGAAAUACAUAAUUGAAAAACUCGACUUUAAUACUUAAAAGAUACCACUUCAGCAUGAUGACUUGGUAUCAAUACGCAAAACUUUCUUCUAUCGUAGGUAUGUCUUUUGUGUGACUAAACAAGAACAUGUGUAUUCAACAAAUACAGGACAAUGAAAUGCCAGGUCCAAUCUGCCACGCUAAUUAAUAAUGGUAAAUUACAUAUCAUAUCCUUGUACUUUAAUUGAUAUUGCACAUUGUACCCUUCAAUUUUGAUUGUAACAGUCAACACUUUAUACUUUAGAUCAAUUGUCAACAUAUUUUUAUGUUACAAAAAGUGGCAAAAAAAGGACAUGUGGACUGAAGGGUCACGUUGACACUUGACCUAAAGAGUAAGUGAAGGGUGAAAGGUGAAAUUUUAGUAAAAUUUUAGGAGUGAGAAAAGACUAAUUUUUCCAAAAUUUAAAAUCCGUGGUGCGUGUGAAUAUGUCCACCGUCGUGGUGGUGCCCUACAUGAAUGUGUCCACCAUCGUGGUGGUGCCCCGUGUGAAUGUGUUCACCGUCGUGGUGAUGCCCCACAUGAAUGUGUCCACCAUCGUGGUGGUGCCCCAUGUGACUGUGUCCACCGUCGUGACCAUGGUUGUGGUGCCCCGUAUGCCCGUGAUGUGUAUGAUCUUGUCCACCGUGGUGUCCACAUUCAUGGUGUUGGUUGUCACCUCCGUCGUCACCUCCACCGCCACCAUCGUCGGCAUCACCUCCAUCAGCGCCUUUGUCGCCACCACCGUCACGGUGAUGGUGCUCACCUGGAUCAUCAUCAUCACAACAGGCUAGAACCACCAUAGAUAUGAUGGACAGUGACACCACAAUACCACACACCAACAUCAACAAACCACUAGAGAUUGGUAAAACACCGCCAUAAUCGCUUAUGGGAUUCAAGAUUCUAGCCAUCUUAAUUGAUAUCUUUUCAAACAACUUUGUAUACGUCCUAAGCCCCUACACAGGAUAUACAUAUGUAUAGACAGAC